UGCAACCAGACGACAAAUGGAUCACCUAUACGGAUGUACGAGUCCUCAUUACGUGUGGUGAGUAACUGGUGCAACACAUGCACAGCUGUUCUACACAGUCGUGCUGUCAUGUUAUAGAUAAAUCAGCUCAAUAUUUUCUUCUUUUCAAGUAUGUUUAUCUAUUGGGACAUGACAUUACAGAUGCAAAAGUUUGUUUAGGAGGCUACAUUAAACCAAGUAAACAAUAUAUAUAAUUAUAAUAAAGCGCUGGUACCUCAGAGGUCCAGCUGAGAUGUUUUGUGUAUGUAAAAUCAGAGAAGACAAAUGUGAGGAGGCAAAUAGUGAUUGGCCAGAAUGAGAUGAUGUAUGAUAGUAGCGCUUCACACAGGUGUGAUUGUUCUGUUUUUUGGGAGUUGGGAAGGAGCUGUUAGGGUAGUUCUGCACUGGACUGCAGACAUGCAAAUUGGCAUUUACCCUCUGCUCUUUACAGAGACCCUUGAUGAGGCGAAAAAACGAGAGACAAAAUAUAACACCACAAUGUGUCCAACAUCUGAAAUUGAAUCUCAUGAUGAAGGAGCUAUCCGCCAAAAAAGAAUAUCCAGGCCAAAUCAGCAGUUUAUGCAUUCUGAUUCUGAAGACCAUCAGAGUAGCAGUGCAAAAAGAAAGCGUUUUGCCAAACCACCUGAUGUUGGAUGUCCAGUAGAUCUUGUUGCUAGCAACUACCAACAAUCACUAGCUGAUGAAGUUCUUAAUGCUGAGAUGCCAGGUUUUGCUACAGCCCACUGUGUCCAGUACCACAAGUUGCAGAAUCCACAGCGACAAAGUGCAAGUAUUGGUAUGAUACUGUACUCUUUCAGUAAUAGUGAUGGGUAUCUUAGUGAUUCUGGCUAAUUAGUUAGUUUGAUCAAACAUUUAGAUUAUGUAUCUUGUGUUUACACUUGUAAACUAUUGCGAAAUGUAACUAUAUCUACAGGGUUGUCUGGAUGCAGCUCAAGGCAGUAUAACCAUCGCCCUGGUCUCUCACAAUGUGCACAAAAUAGGCUGCCAUUGGAUAUAUCACAGACAAACUCCGACCUGAAUGAUGUAUUGGAUUCAGCGCCUAAUCAAGGUUUCGAAGAUGCAACCACACAAAGGGCCAACAAUAAUGGGCAGCUUUUGAGAGGCAAGUCUAUUGGACAUAAUGUAUUUGUAAUGUGUCAUUUUCAGGUUAUUUUGAUGUUGCACUUAAAGAUUCUUAAUGUUCUCCUGAAGACCUCGCUAUCCAUAAGAUGACAUCGAUGCUUGCUGAAGCUCUUGUGAUUGUGAAGGAUCUAUCCAGAGAUGUCCAAUUCAUUAAGAACAAUUUGGCUCAGAGUAACAUUACACCAGGUAGCACACAAGGACCAGCAAACCUUGUACUCCCCUUCCAGCUGCCAAUUGAAAGUGAAGAAGAUUUCAGUAAAGCAGAGUCAUUACUGAUUGAAGAGACAGUGCGUCAAAAGAUGAUUGCUCGACUGGCUCUAGUAGGAGGCACCAAUUCAGCCAACAUGAUAAGAAGAAUGUUGAUAACUUGUAUGAGAAAUGCCCUGGCAAGUCAGUUCAACUGGGCUGGGAAGAAACAUAGGCAUUCCCAGAGUAAAAAGCCAUUCAAGGACACAAUCCUGCAAGAGUGCAUAUUAGUUGCUGCUCGUCAAUUCGAACCAGGCCUAACUGAUCAAAAUUACAGCGAAACAGUAAAGAAAUGGUUUCACUAUGCACCAGACCGGGAGGGAGGCAUUGAAAGGCAACCAAAGGGACGGCCAGAAGACUGAAAUUAAAUAAAAUAUUUAAGCA